GGCGUAUCGAGAUGUGGUAACUCCACCACCGUUGGCUGUUUUUAUUUAUUUCUGCCAACGGUGUAUGAGUUCCUCGAUUUCGUAACGUU
rfam:Pediculus humanus corporis strain TSDA 1103172095234, whole genome shotgun sequence.